rnacentral:rRNA from 1 species
CAGCCUGUGAAACGUGGCGAACGGGUGAGUAACGAAUAGAUUACCUGCCCUUAAGUUCGGGAUAAUCCACCGAAAGGUGAAGUAAUACCGGGUGGUAUGCUGUUUCAUCUGAAACAGCAUUAAAGGAGGCUCUGCUUCCGCUUAAGGAGGGGUUUAUUUCCUAUUAGCUUGUUGGUGAGAUAACAGCUCACCAAGGCGAGGAUGGGUAGGGGGCCUUAGCGGGUUAUCCCCCACACUGGGACUGAGACACUGCCCAGGUUCCUACGGGAGGCUGCAAUCGAGAAUCCUCCGCAAUGGGCGAAAGCCUGACGGGGUGACGCCGCGUGACCGAUGAAGGCCUAUCAGGUCGUAAAGGUCUAACAGGGAGUAUGAAAUUUAUUAUACCUAAUACGUAUAAUAAUUGACAUCAAUCCCAGAUGAAGUCACGGCUAAAUUUGUGCCAGCAGCCGCGGUAAUACAAAUGUGGCAAGCGUUGUUCGGAAUCACUGGGCAUACAGGGCACGUAGGUGGUGCAGUAAGUUAAUUGUGAAAGCCCUCGGCUUAACCGAGGAAUUGCAGUUAAAACUGUUGCGCUAGAGUACAGAAGGGGAGAGUGGAAUUCUAGGUGUAGCGGUGGAAUGCGAAGAUAUCUAGGAGAAGGCCGGUGGCGAAAGCGGCUCUCUAUUCUGUUACUGACACUGAGGUGCGAGAGCGUAGGUAGCGAACGGGAUUAGAUACCCCGGUAGUCUACGCUGUAAACGAUGGGCACUAGAUGGUGGAGG